rnacentral:snoRNA from 1 species
AUCUAGGGUGGUGGUGAAGAGUGGGGCUCUGGAGCCAGGCUGCCUGACUUCAAGUGCCAACUGCCUCUUACAGGCCAUGGGACUCUGGACAAGUUACUUAACCUCUCUAUGCCUCAGUUUUCUCAUCUGUGAAGUGGGGAUUGUAACCCCAACCUCACAAAGUUAUAGUGAGCAUUC